rnacentral:rRNA from 1 species
UACGUAGGGUGCAAGCGUUGUCCGGAAUUAUUGGGCGUAAAGAGCUCGUAGGCGGUCUGUCGCGUCUGCUGUGAAAACUCAGGGCUUAACCCUGAGCUUGCAGUGGGUACGGGCAGACUAGAGUGCGGUAGGGGAGACUGGAAUUCCUGGUGUAGCGGUGAAAUGCGCAGAUAUCAGGAGGAACACCGGUGGCGAAGGCGGCCACCUGGGCCGACCCUGACGCUGAGGCGCGAAGGCGUGGGGAGCGAACGGG